GUGAAAUCUAGGGUUUCGUAGACAGGAUGCAGAAGCUCUCGGGGCUUAGGGGCCUUGAGGGGUUCCGAUCUCUUGUCGGAUCCACCUCGAUGGCCAUGAAGGCCCCGAACCCCAAGCCCUCCUCGGAUGCUGGAGGUAGUACGUAUGGGAGCUUCGCCAAUCUUAAGAUCACGGCAGAGAAAUUGGUCAAGGAGCAGGCUUCAGUGAAGACUGAUCUAGAAAUGGCGCAUACCAAACUGAGAAGAGCAACAGAACAGAUAAGCCUUUUAGAAGGAAAACUUCAACAAGCUGUGAACGAAAAUGUAAAGUUCAAGGUGAAGCAAACUGAAGAUUCGAAGCUCUGGCAGGGAUUAGAUUCGAAGCUCUCCUCAACAAAGACCUUGUGCGAUCAACUGACUGAAACUCUGCAGCAGCUAGCUAGUCAUACAGAACGAGCUGAGGAAGAUAAGAAAUUUUUUGAGAAGAUGAUAGGGAAGAAUUCCAAAUCUUUAGAUGAGUUCAACUGCUUGUUGCAUGAUUUAUCAACAAAGCUGGAGUGUGCAGAACAAAAGAUCAUUUCAGGGAAACAGGAGAUGUUGCAGAUCAAACAAGAGAAAGAAGAAAUGGAUCGGAGUUACAAGGAACGGCUGUAUGCAAAUGAUACCACCUUAAAGGAAAAAGAUUUCCUCAUCAAGCAGUUGGAGGGUUCAGUUGAUGAAAAUAAAUCCCGGUUCAUAUGUCUUGACUCCCGCUUGCAAUGCAUGGAGCAAGAGCUGAAGCUAAAAGAUGAUGUUUGCAUUAGCCUGAAAGAAAACCUAGCGAGCACUGAAAGUGAAAAGAACGACUUGGAGCUUAGGAAUCAGGGCUGCCGUCUGGAAAUUGAAAAACUAUGCAAGGACAACAAGGAUCUUAAUGAAUUGCUUAGGAGCUUUAUGGCUAGAAUAACUGAACUAGAUAAAGAGCAUGCCUCAAUGUCAAGUCAUGUCUCUAGACUGCUUUCUUCAUUUGAGAGGUUCUAUGGAAUGGUCCAAGAGGAGCAAAUCCUAAUUGCAAGAUCUUCUAAGGACAAAUUUGAACAUCUCCAAAACCAAUAUGCAGAUUUGACAUCAGAAAACAAUGCUCUCAAAAUUGAAAUUGAAGAACUGAAGUCCAGAAUCAUAGAGUUGCAGAAAACUCAAGAAAUUGUUAUGGUUCAACAUGUAGAAGAGUGCCAAGUGGCUGAAGAUAAGAUCAGAAGAUUAGAGUCUGAAGCUGAAAUUUCUGCCUCCAACAUUAAUCGGUUAGAAAAAUCAGCUUCUGAACUACAAGGGCGAAUUCUAAAGUUACUGGAAGAUUCUACCCUUGCUGAAAAUCACAAGCAAGAGUCGCUUCAAAAGAUUUUGAAGCUAGAAUCAGAUAAUCAGGAGCUUCUAGGUCGAGUGCAGUCAAUUAUGGACGAGAAAUCUAACAAUGCCGAAUCUCUGCAAGGAGAGAUAGCUAAGCGUGACCAGCAGGUUGACACACUUGAGAAUCAGGUCAAACAGCUCCGCAGCGUUCUGGAUGAGAAGGAGCAACUGUAUAGUUGUUCCGUAGAAAGAGAGCAGACUUUGGAGGAACAGAAAUUACAGGUCGAAGCAUCACUUGCUGCAAUAGAAUGCCAACUUACUGAAGCAAAAAAACAGUAUGAUCUCAUGCUUGAAGGCAAACAGAUAGAGCUAUCCAAGCAUUUGAAAGAGCUAUCUCUCAAAAAUGACCAGGCGAUCAACGAGAUCCGUAAGAAAUAUGAACUAGAAAAGAUAGAAAUCACUAAUGCCGAAAAAGAAAAGGCAGAAAAGCUCAUACAGGAAAUGGAAAACAAAUGUAAUGAAAAGAUAUCAGAGAACAAGCAAGACUCAGAGACGUAUUUGAUGCGUCUUAAAGAGGAACAUGGAGAAAUGAUGGCAAGAAUUCAGCACGAUAAUGAGCAUAAAGAAUCAACUCUCCGUGCUUAUCACAAAGAAGAACUACAGCGCAUUCAGUCUCAGGCUGAGAAUGAAUUGAGGGAGAGCCUGUCAUUGCUCAAAAAAGAACAUGAACUUCAAAUAAGAUCACUAAGGAUGCAGCAUGAGGACGAAUGCCAGAGGCUACAGGAGGAACUGGAGCUUCAGAAGUCAAAGGAGGAGAAGCAAAGAACGCUGUUACAGUUACAGUGGAAAGUAAUGGGAGAAAAUCAACAAGUUGAUCAAGAAGUGAACUCUAAGAAGGAAUACUCUGUUUCCUCGAUGAAGAGGAGAGAUCCAUAUGGAAGAAAAGAACAUGAGCUCCAGUUGGUAAGUCCUGAGACCAAGCGGAAGGAUGUAAACUUAUCUGGAAUUCUACAAUCACCAAUUUCAAACAUGCUGAGAAAGGUAGAGAAAGGGUCUCAGGAUAUUCCUAAACAUAGAAAGGUAACACACCAUGAAUAUGAAGUUGAGACAGCAAAUGGAAGAAUCACAAAGCGCAGGAAAACUAGGAGCACGUUCAUGUUUGGUGAGGCAAAUACUCAGAAGGCAUUGCCUAGUGCUGCUGACAAGGAUGUAACAAAAAUGAGAAAGGUAUGAUGGCUGUGCAGUAUAACUAUUUUCUUCACUUUCUUUUCAUAUUCAUAUGGAAAAGGUCCACAAAGAAGGUUGCUGCAGGAUCCCAUGCCCAUCCUGCAAACAUUGGUGAACUGUUCUCCGAGGGCUCCUUGAAUCCAUAUGCUGACGACCCUUACGCUUUUGACUAGAAGCUCACACCUGGAGCUAUGAUCUCUACAAGUAUGAUGACGAAAUCUGGAAUGCAAAAUCACCUACUGCCAUCGUGUUGAAUCAAGAUUCUGCAGCCUUGCCCUGGUUUGGGCAUCUAACCAUCCUAGUGUUCAUAUGACUACUGUUAACUGUGAUGUAUCUGGAACACUGCUACGACAAUAAACAUCACGAUUGUCCCGUAUGUGGGUGUGAAUUUGUAAAUGAACUGUACAUGCCACAAACUAUGGACUAACUGAAAUUCACUGAACCCUCUCCCACUAGUUGGUGGC